rnacentral:lncRNA from 1 species
CGGCACCGGGCUGGCAGGCGGGCGGCCAGCUGGGAGAAGCGGAGGCUCCAGGUGGGGCACGCAGCUGGCGGGGACCUGGGGACGGGGGCGGGGGGGGGGUGGCUUCUGGGGGGGCGGAGGUUUGGGGUCCCCAUGGGCAGAAGCACAACUGGGCUGGAGCAGGUGGCCUCGAGGGACAUGGUGGCCCCACAGCGCCCACCGGGGGCAUCCCCUGGCAGAGCUGCCUUGGAGGUGGUCCCAGCCCUUAUUUGACAGACUAGGAAAACUGAGCCUUAGGGAGCGCCCUGCAAGACAGAGCUGGCGAGGCCCGGAGCCAGGGGCAGACCCCCGGGGCAGGAGGGGCGGGCCGCGCCCCGUCUUACGUGCGUUCACGUGUGUGUGUUCUGUGCGUGCUUGAAAAUAAGGCUUUCCGUUUGCAGGGUACACAUUUUGAAAAGAAUGUAUUAAUUAGGUCAACCUUUACAACCAUGUCAGUCACAUACUGCAGGUUGGAUCUGUCUGUCUCUCGAGUUUACGAAAACCGGGCGUGAAGUGCUGAAUUUUGCCAUCGGGGUGGGGGCAGGGAGGGCAAUCCCUCCUUUUGUCUGUAAGGGUCUUUGGUUUAUACAUUUCUAGGACACGUUCUUCACAACUUGAAGCUUCUUGGCCGCUCUGCCUCUUACCAGCCUAGAGCUCCCGGUGCCUGUUCUGUGCCAUUUGUCCUGAGUCUGCUGUGCCUGACACGUGCAGUGGCCACCCCCCAUCCCCAGGUCCCGGCCCCGCGCUCCCGCCCUGUAUGUUUUCGGUCACCAUUUAUUUCAUCCGCCUGGCCUUGGUUUCAAGCCCACCUCGGAGCGUGUGCCUUUUCCAAAGGAAUUUAUCCCGCUUACAAGUUUUGCAAUAAUUUAUUUGCUCUGGUUUUCUUUGGUUGCUGAUAGGAUCCUUGCUGAUUUAAUGCUUCCUCACGACUUCC